UCUUUGUUUUCCAGCAGCGCCAGUCCCCGAAUAUGGCCAAUAAUGUAGCUGAGGGGCGGGGAGCAGCUCGGUCUGCAGACCCUGUGAGUCUCAGAGUCUGGCGGAGUGCCGAGGAGAGGCAGCAGGCAGCGGUGGCAGGGAUGGGCUCACACCUCUGAAUCACAAGUCAACCUCCAAUCAAGCAUCUCGGAGACCUGGGACGAAUAGUUGUUUUGUUUUGGGGGAUUUUUCUUUUUCUUUUUUUUUUCCUUGGCGUUUUUUCCCCUGUUGUGCUUAUAAAGACUGGUAGACUAAAGCUACCAUAAAAACAAAAUUAAAAAAAAAAAGGGGAGCGAGAAGGUUUACGGUUGCAUUCCGACGCUCAGCACUCCUGUCGUCUCACCUGCACGGCCGGUGGAGAGGUCCGCUGUGGUAAUAAUGCAUCCAGACAAGCACUUACCUGAACUGGUGGCCGAGAAAAACAGCUUGGACCCGUCCUUUGUGCAUGCAGUGCGUCUGCUCGCAGAAGAGAUUGAAAAGUAUGAUGGUGAUGAAUUGAAAAAAGAUGGUGACAUGAAGAAAUACCUAGAUAUCAUCAGCAAUAAAAAUAUCAAGCUCUCCGAAAGAGUUCUCAUUCCAAUCCAACAGUAUCCAAAGUUUAAUUUUGUCGGGAAGCUGCUCGGACCACGGGGAAAUUCCAUGAAACGAUUACAAGAGGAAACAGGAGUGAAGAUGUCCAUUCUCGGCAAAGGGUCCAUGAGGGAUAAAGGCAAGGAAGAAGAAUUGAGAAAAAGCGGAGAGGCCAAAUAUGCCCAUCUGAGUAAUGAUCUUCAUGUUUUAAUUGAAGUCUUUGCUCCACCUGGAGAGGCGUAUUCCCGCAUGAGUCACGCCUUGGAGGAGAUUAAAAAAUUCCUAGUUCCAGACUACAAUGAUGAGAUCAGACAGGAACAACUGAGAGAGCUCUCCCUGUUGAAUGGUUCUGACGAGUCGAGCAGAGGGAGAAGUGCGCAAGGAAGGAGUGUACGACCAGCAACCACAGUAUCCACGAGGGGCCACAGAGGCACGGGAAGGAGUGCAGCAGCCCCUCGGGGGACAGCAGCAACAUCACACAGCAAACUUCCCACAACUGUUUUAACAAGAGAGGUACAAGCUCCGAGAGCCAGAGGUGCUGCAGGGAGUGCUGGGUACAGGCCCCCACUGUUAGCAGUCACACAUGAAUCAUAUGACGACUAUGGCUACGAUGAUGGGUACGGGGGAGAAUAUGAUGAUGAAAGUUACGAAGCCUAUGAAGAUAACUACAGCAAUCAGUCAAAGAGCAUUUCAGAAUAUUAUGAAUAUGGACAUGUGACCAGUGAUGAAUCCUACAACAACUAUGAGGAGGAGUGGGCGACUACCCGUCCUAGUCUCAAAGCCCCAAUUUUACGACUGACAAGAGGGGGCUACAGAAAACAUCCCUAUGGUAGAUACUGAAGAUUAAGAAACACACUAUUGUGUGUUUUGGUCAAAGCAGACAGGGAGGUAACAGAGCAGCAGGCACAGAAAUCUGCUCCCAGAGGACUGAAGAUUGUACUCUGCCAUCAGACACGUUCGGGCUCGUCAUCAGUCAGGAAAGUAUAGCUUGAGAUAAAAUUGGAUCUGGAGAGGAAGAAUGAGAGAACACAAAACACGAUGGCAAAGACUGACAGUGACUACUGAAAAAGAAGAAGCUACCACCAGCAGCUUCGCACAAAGACUGGAAACAGCGGGAAACAGCUAGCCUGGCUGUUGCUUCAUAUUUUCCAUGGUGGUAUAAAUGCUUUCAUUACACUCUCAACAAGAAAUCUUACUGUCUUGGUGUCACUGACUUGGUAAUGAGACAAGAAAAGUAGACACAUAUGUAAAAAGAUGUAUAUAAUUGAAACUAGAGGUUACACAGCUUGAGUUGAUAUCAACACAUUAUUAGCAGUCAAGUAAUGAUUCCAUCUGCUUAUGUGUUCAGAGACAUCCACAGAUAUGCAACAUGCUGUACCCACUAAUUCAAUCAACUGAGGGAAAACAUGAUGGCUGCACGCUCUUUUGUGCCAACUCUCAUGCUUAGUGCCUUAUUUUCUCCAAUGAUUGCACCUAUUUGUUCUUAACAAGACAAUAAACGCUGAUUUGAAAAGGUUGAGGUAAGAGCGAGGAGGUCUAUCUCCUUCCAUCUCCAUCUCAAGGACGAGCUGAUUGUCUCUGGCUAAAAGCUGCAUCUCUAUACACAACGUGAGCCUGGAUGUCAGACGCUUGUUGACAGAUUAUAACUGGGGGAAUCAUAGGGAGACAGACAGCCAGUGCAUCGGGGGGGAAUUACUGUACUGCAUUUGAGCCAAAAUGUCAGACUCGGUGCUCAAAGGCUUGCUGCAUAUACAAAGUACUGCACACCAAGGACACAGUGUCAUUUGUCAUACAGCUUCAGAAUCAAUUCAGAAAGAUAACAACAUGCAUGUCAUAUGAAUGGCCCUACAUAUUAUUGCAAAGACUGAAAGGAGUAGUUGGAAAUAUGUUUAUUUGCUUUCUUGUUUCUGUCCUUUAAACACGAAGCCACAGCCACAAGAUAGAAAUAGUCAAGAAAUAAAUGAUAAACAGUCUGUAAAAGCACAAGUUGCUCUUUUAAACUAACCAAACAAGUAUUGCUUUAGAGGUGCUCGUAAGCCUAUCUUACCUUAGACCAGAACUAUACUAGCUGUUUCCCCUCCAUUUACACUCUUUAUGCUAAGCUAAGGAAAGGCUUCGGAUUUAGUGUACACACAUGACAGUGGUAACAAUCUUCUCCUCUAAUUCUUGGUGUGAAAACAAAUGGGUACAUGAAAUGUUCAGUUAUGUAUUUAAACAUGUGCAUUUAUUUAGUCCUUUGUUCUUUUUUUUACUCUAAGUACAGUGUUUGUUCCUCUGUUUUCUGUGUGUAUGUUGCAGGUUGUCAUGAAGACAAGUCGCAUUCCUGGUGUACAAUA